rnacentral:rRNA from 1 species
UUUUAUUUGAGAGUUUGAUCCUGGCUCAGGAUGAACGCUGGCGGCGUGCCUAACACAUGCAAGUUGAGCGAUUUACUUCGGUAAAGAGCGGCGGACGGGUGAGUAACGCGUGGGUAACCUACCCUGUACACACGGAUAACAUACCGAAAGGUAUGCUAAUACGGGAUAAUAUAUUUGAGAGGCAUCUCUUGAAUAUCAAAGGUGAGCCGGUACAGGAUGGACCCGCGUCUGAUUAGCUAGUUGGUAAGGUAACGGCUUACCAAGGCGACGAUCAGUAGCCGACCUGAGAGGGUGAUCGGCCACAUUGGAACUGAGACACGGUCCAAACUCCUACGGGAGGCAGCAGUGGGGAAUAUUGCACAAUGGGCGAAAGCCUGAUGCAGCAACGCCGCGUGAGUGAUGAAGGCCUUCGGGUCGUAAAACUCUGUCCUCAAGGAAGAUAAUGACGGUACUUGAGGAGGAAGCCCCGGCUAACUACGUGCCAGCAGCCGCGGUAAUACGUAGGGGGCUAGCGUUAUCCG